rnacentral:rRNA from 1 species
ACCCCCGUGAGAAUGCCCCUAAAAUCCUGCCCGGAAACGAGGAGCAGACAUCAGGUACACACCCGUAGCCCAUGACGUCUUGCGUGGCCACACCCCCAAGGGACUUCAGCAGUAAUAAACCUUAGGCAAUAAGUGCAAACUUGACCUAGUUAUGGCUAUAAGAGGGCCGGUAAAACUCGUGCCAGCCACCGCGGUCAUACGAGUGCAAGCCCAAGCAGAUGAUCUCCGGCGUAAAGCGUGGUUAGGGACACCCCAAACUAAAGCUGAACGCCCGCAGGGCCGUUAUACGCAUCCGACAGCAUGAAACCCCACCACGAAAGUGGCUUUAACCCAACCCGAACCCACGAUAGCUAGGGCACAAACUGGGAUUAGAUACCCCGCUAUGCCUAGCCGUAAACAUAGAUAGAGACUCUACAAACUCUAUUCGCCUGGGAACUACAAGCAUCAGCUUAAAACCCAAAGGACUUGGCGGUGCUUUAGACCCACCUAGAGGAGCCUGUCCUAGAACCGAUACCCCCCGUUCAACCUCACCACUUCUAGCCCAACCC